GAAUAUUGGACAAUGGGCGCAAGCCUGAUCCAGCCAUGCCGCGUGAGUGAAGAAGGCCUUAGGGUUGUAAAUCUCUUUCGGCGGGGAAGAUAAUGACGGUACCCGCAGAAGAAGCCCCGGCUAACUCCGUGCCAGCAGCCGCGGUAAUACGGAGGGGGCUAGCGUUGUUCGGAAUUACUGGGCGUAAAGGGCACGUAGGCUGGCUGUUAAGUCGGGGGUGAAAUCCUGAGGCUCAACCUCAGAAUUGCCUCCGAUACUGGCGGUCUCGAGUGCGGGAGAGGUGAGUGGAAUUCCCAGUGUAGAGGUGAAAUUCGUAGAUAUUGGGAAGAACACCAGUGGCGAAGGCGGCUCACUGGCCCGCAACUGACGCUGAGGUGCGAAAGCGUGGGGAGCAAACAGG
rnacentral:rRNA from 1 species